AAGAAAAUCCGCAUAUGAUUUGCUCUUUUUAUUUUUUUUAUUGGAAUAUAAAUUCGAUUGAUAUGUGAAAUUAUUUGACAUGUAUCCAAAUAUUACUACCAAUUCAUUGUAGCUGUCCUACAAAGAGUCUUAUUUGUUAAAAAAAAAAAAAAAAAAAAAAAAAAAAAAAAAAAAAAAAAAAAAAAAAAAAAAAAAAAAAAAAAAAAAAAAAAAAAAAAAAAAAAAAAAAAAAAAA
rnacentral:lncRNA from 1 species